rnacentral:lncRNA from 1 species
GUUAAGCCCGUCUUCAAAUCGUCGGUGCAUCUUGGCUUCUGUAGGAACAUAUUCCCUGGCAUACUUACUUACUCGAAAAAACUCUCUUUCAUAUUCUGAGACUGUCAUAUUACCUUGCUUCAGCUCAAGAAACUCUUUACAUUUCUGAUCAAUAAAUCUUUCACUAAUAUAUUUCUUUCGAAACUCUUCUUGAAAGAAUUCCCAGGUUACCCUCUCUUUCGGUACCACUGAAAUCAAAGUCUUCCACCAAUUAUAGGCUGAAUCUCUCAACAAAGAUGUAGCACAUUUCAAACAUUCUUCAGGUGUACAAGAUAAUUCAUCAAAUACUCGGAUAGAAUUUUCAAGCCAGAACUCUGCUUUCUCUGCAUCAUCAUCAAUAUUUGCUCUAAAUUCUUCAGCCCCUUGUUUACGAAUUCU